AUGUGAUUUGAUGUGGAUGGUGAUUUGGGCCAUACAAUGUGCUCUCUAGAAGGUGACCAUGAGGUACCAGCGCCUACAGUGCGUGUAGAUGAGGCCAGAUCAGUGCGCAACCCUCCUUAGUAAAGGCUUUCUUCGCAUAUGCAACAUAUUAUUGAGUUGUGUGAGCAGGUUGCUGCCCUUUCCCAGCUGUUCGAUUUGUAUAGGGCAGAGUUAGAACGACGAUUGGAGGAGGUAGAGCGGCUUUUGGUGAAGGCACUUCGGCAUUUGGAUGAGUUCGAGCGUCGUCACACUGACAUCAUGCAUGCACUAGUGAACAUCUCAUGCACGGUAUCUUUUAUGCCCACUACCGUCACCACCUCUUUAGUAUCAGGUCAGCCACAGACAUCACCUACUAUUGGUUGUAGUGAUCAGAUCACAGGAUCGAGCCCUAUAGAUACUGCAUCAAUCGAUAUUCCCGCAGCCAGUGAUCUGAUUCUUCUACCCAAAGGGAACAAGCUGAAGAUCCAUGAACCUUUUACUCCCUUUAUUUCGAAGAAGAGCAAAGGGUAGUAUGUUUUAAAUCGAAAAUUGUUUUCUUUAUUCGAAAAUAUUUUGAUGUUUUUGGGGGAAAAACCCAGAAUUUUGCAGGAGAACAUUGCUGUGGAGAUUAGGAGCAAUGACUUUUCUUCGUUCCAAGAUAAGAAAAGGUAGCCUGUGGAGGAAGACCUAACCGACUCACAACACAAAGAUAUUGGAAAUCAACUGGCUGUGAAGAGGGCAAAACAAAACAAAACUUUGAAAAUAGCAAAAUAUAAAUAAUCAUAAUAUUUCUAAUUUCAUUAACAAAAUCUAUCAUUAACAGAAGUGUCUAGAACUAUCGAACAAGUUUGGACAAAAAGUCAACGAUUCAUUAACAAAAGUCUCUAGAUCUAUCAAACAAGUUUGGACAAAAAGUCAAAAGAUAAACUAAAUAUAAAUUUUUCUCAACUGAAAUUGGAGUUGACCAGCAAUGGUGAGAUACCUCACCAUUUCUUCGUCUUGGCAGAAAUCCUCGAGUACCAACCACAACGGAGUAUUUUAUUUUCUACACUUAGCAUUUUUGCAACUAUUUCUUCGAUUUUUACUUUGACAACGUAUAAAGUAAGAUCUACUUUCAAAUCUUUAAUAGUAAUUAGAUCCAUGCAUUCAUCUCCAAAAAAGACCGUGAGGGAAGAUUUUUUCUUUUUGAUGUAGUUCACGACAAGAAUCCUGCUCUUCAGAAAGUUUAGAAAUUUUCAUGAAGGAGGUUUGGAUUUACGGUUGUUUGCAUGAUGACGACUCAACUAUUGGAAAAUCAACUCGUAUUCCCCAGUAGAGAUAACCAAGGUAUUCAAGAAGACACCCCCCUUCAGAUGGGAAUUUUGUAUUGACUUUGAAUCCUAUCAUCUUCCUUUCUUUCUCUUCUUGGAUCCAUUUCUCCAUUAUCAUUUUGUCAGUUGUCACUGUGGUGGUAGUAAUUAAUUUUUUCCGGCCAAGUGGACAAAUAACCUCAUGUUUUUUGAGCUUUCUGGCCAUUUUGAUAGGGGGAGGAGUUAAACAUGGUUUUACACACAAGGUAUUCAUGGUUGGAAGAUAUUUAGUGGAGGAAGAGUACGAGGAAUAGUGAGUGAGUGAGUGAAUGGGUAAAGUGAAGUGGAACAAUAUACAGAUGAAAUGUUCAGGGUGAGGGGCUCAUCUUUUUAAAAUGGAUUUUGUUUGUCCCUAUAACUAUUUUUUACCUCUUUGGCUUUAGUUCUGAUCAACAUAUUAUUUUGCCUAGGUGGCAAUAGGGACAGCAUGAUGAAAAGACACUUUAUGAUCUUUUUUUAUUCUGUUCGUUCAGAAUCAAAGUUUACUGAGAAUGUCUAUUGAAUUAAAUUUUUAGGAUGAUUCCGGGUCAUGUUGGUUUAGGUUGAAUUAGUUUUAGUGCUUUUAAGUUACAUACCCCACGUUCUUUAGCAAUAAAACAAAUAUAUAUACAUCUUGAAAACAAAAGUUAUGAAUUAAAAUCAAGUUUGACUAGAAAAGUAGGUGAUCUCUAGUGUUUGGGCAUUGAAACCUGGUCGAAAUCAUCCUCAAAACUUAAUUCAUUAGACAUUCGCAAUAAAUUUUGAUUCUGAACGAACCGAUUCAUACAAUAUCUUUUUAUCAUGUUGUCGUUAUUGCCGCCUAGGCAAAAUAACAUGUUGAUCAGAACUAAGGUCAAAGAAAUUAAAAUUAGUUAUGAGGACAAACAAAAUCCCUUUUAAAAAAGAUGAACGUCUCACUCUGAACAUUUCAUCUGUACAUAACUCCACUUCAUCUUCCCCAUUCACUCUAUCACUGUUCCUCUUACUCUUCCUCAACUAAAUCUCUUCCAAAUAUGAAUACUUUGUGUGUAAAAUCAUGCUUAACCCCUCCCCUAUCAAAAUGGCUAGAAACCUAAAAAAACAUGAGGUUAUUUGUCCACUUGGCCCAAAAAAAUUAAUUACUACAACCACAGUUACUACUGACAAAAUGAUAAUGAAAAAAUGGUUUUGGGAAGAGAAGGAAAGUAAAAUGAUAAGUUUCAACAUCAACACAAAAUUUCCUACUGAAGGGGGUGACUUCUUGAAUAUCUUGGUUAUUUUGGAGGGAAUACGAGUUGAUUUUUCGAUAUUCAAGUCCUAAUCAUGCAAACAAUUGUAACUUCAAACCUCCUUCAUGGAAACAUCUAAACUUUUUGAAGAGUAAGAUUCUUGUCCGGAACAACAAGAAGAAAAAAUCUUCCAUCGCUACCUUUUUUUAGAGAUAGAGGCAAGGAUCUAAUUGAUAUUAACGAUUUGAAAGUAGAUCUUGCUUUGUACGUUGUUGAAGUAAAACUCGAAACCAUUGCAAAAAUACUGGGUAUAGAAAAUAGAAUAUUUCUUUGCGGUUGGGCACUCGGAGUAUUUCUGUCAAUACGAAGAAAUGGUGAGGUAUCUCACCAUUACUGGUCAACUCCAAUUUCAGUUGGGAAAAAUUUAUAUUUAAUCUUUUUUGACCUUUGUCCAAACUUGUUUGAUAGUUUUAGAGGCUUUUGUUAAUGAAUUGUUGACAUUUUGUCCAAACUUGUUUAAUAGUUUUAGAGACUUCUGUUAAUAAUAUAUUUUGUUAAUGAAAUAAUAUUAUUAUUUAUAUUUUGUUAUUUUCAAAUUUUAGUUUUGUUUUGUUAUUUUCACAGCCAGUUGCUAUCCUUGUUGAGCCGGUUAAGUCUUUCUCCACAGGCUACCCUUUCUUGUCUUGGAACGAAGAAAAGCCAUUGCUCUAAUAUCCAUGACAACAUUCUCCUAUUGUUUAUAUACAUAUCCGUGAAUACUAAAAUACAUAACUAAGAAAUUUGAAAAUGAUGAUCCUUGUAAUAUGUUAGGGUAACAAUAACGCGAAGAAGUUCACGAAUGGAAAUGAUCUUAACUAUCACGCAAAUUAAUUAACCUUUUAAAUGGAAAUUUUAUCCGUACUCGGCAAUACGGCUAUUGGAUUGACAUUAUGAAAUGUGUCUCUCUUUGUAUAGUCAAUAGUCUUCCGUCAAAUUUUUCCUUUGUAUAACAAACACUUUUAUUUUAUAUGAUGAAAAAUAUUUGCAAUCAAAUGCAGCCUAAUUUAAGUGGCUUUUUCCAGGAAAGGAAGAUAAAAAAUGUCAAACUUGGGAAAUUAUAGUUUCUAGAAAGUGAUGGAAGGGUGGUAGAGGCUUUUCUUUGGGAAGUCUGAUGAUUCUCAAGUACUAGCUAGUAGGUAUAAUAAUUGCCAUCAACAUGCUUAAGGAUACCCGUCUAGACGUAUUGCUAGGAUAACUCAAUAUGCAUUUGAUAGAAUGGGAAAAAAGGUGAUUGGGUCUAAAAGGACUCUAUAUUUUUUCAAGAAAACAAGCUAUUUAUAUUCAGUAUAUAAUUUUUGUUUGUUGUAGUACAUUUAUUUGCAAUGAUCAUUAAUCUUUACUCAUAUCACAUUUAUGUGAUUUCCUUGUUCUUUUGUUCUUCUCUGUCUUCCUGAAGUUAUUAUCAUUUUGUGGGCGCCAAUACCCUUCUCAUUGACGUCUCACUGGAAAUUUGGUUCUUACAUCUCAUUAGGCCUUUAGGAAGAUAUAUUUGUUUUCAUCAGCCCUAAGCACUUUCCUUCUGCUUGGUGAUGCGGACUUUGGUUUAAUAGCUUUUGAGAGAGCAUUUCUGACACUCUUCGUGCAUCUAUGGAAAACAAUAGAACAUUUUUUUGUAUGUCGUUUUGCAAUACAAUUAUGAGUAUACCUUCGACAUUAAAAUAUAUCUUAUGCGUGGGAUCGGUGGCAGUAAAUGAUGACUUCUUUAUGGUAGAACUGGCUCUCUGCAGUUGUAAUUUUCUACUCUUUGGGGGUAUAUCCAGGGAUGUUCUCAUAUUGUGUAGUGAUAGGUCUUCAUUUACCCGUGACAACCCUCUUGCCAUUGUUUUAAGCUUUCAGAGCUCACUCGGCAGUUUUAACAGUUGAUAAGCUUAUCCAGCUGCAGAAUGUUUGGCAAUGGUAUAAACAGAGCUUGGCACCAGCUUAAAUCUUGGUGGUAACACUCAGGAUGUUAUUCAGAAAUACUAUGAAGCUAUCAAAAUUGACCCACACUAUGCUGUAGAUUCAUGUUUCUUGGCUUCCUUAUUUGGAAUGCCAAGUUACUUUGAUUUUGCUAUUCAGGUGUGGUGGCUUUCUUAUUACAGCCUGCUUAUUACAACAUUGGUGUUGUCUAUUCUGAACCACCCUGAACUGCUAUGAGAGAGAUGCCCAUGUAUGCUGAAGCAUAUUGCAACAUGGGCGUUAUCUAUAAAAAUCGUGAGGAUUUGGAGUCUGCAAUUGCCUGUUAUGAGAGGUCAAAUUGGAGGGUGAUAUCAGCCAAGGUGUGGCAUAGUAUAAUUGGCACUAUGCUGAUGCUAUGUACAACAUAGGGGUUGCUUAUGGAGAAACGCUGGAGUUUGUCAUGGUCAUUGGGUAUAAAAAUCGCGUCAUAGGGCAAACAGCAAACUGUAGAAGAUAAUCUUGUGACAAGAUGCUUCCUGGAUAAUCUUGUAAUCUUGUAAUAAUUUUGUACAUCAAGUAGAAGAAUAAAAUGAAAUACAAUGUUAAUUUCUGCUA